rnacentral:rRNA from 2 species
AACUUUCAACAACGGAUCUCUUGGCUCUCGCAUCGAUGAAGAACGCAGCGAAAUGCGAUAGGUAAUGUGAAUUGCAGAACUCAGUGAAUCAUCGAAUCUUUGAACGCACAUUGCGCCCUGGGGCAUU